rnacentral:rRNA from 1 species
CCUACGGGAGACAGCAGUGAGGAAUAUUGGUCAAUGGACGAGAGUCUGAACCAGCCAAGUAGCGUGAAGGAUGACUGCCCUAUGGGUUGUAAACUUCUUUUAUAUGGGAGUAAAAUGUUCCACGUGUGGGAUUUUGUAUGUACCAUAUGAAUAAGGAUCGGCUAACUCCGUGCCAGCAGCCGCGGUAAUACGGAGGAUCCGAGCGUUAUCCGGAUUUAUUGGGUUUAAAGGGAGCGUAGGUGGAUUGUUAAGUCAGUUGUGAAAGUUUGCGGCUCAACCGUAAAAUUGCAGUUGAAACUGGCAGUCUUGAGUACAGUAGAGGUGGGCGGAAUUCGUGGUGUAGCGGUGAAAUGCUUAGAUAUCACGAAGAACUCCGAUUGCGAAGGCAGUUCACUGGACUGCAACUGACACUGAGGCUCGAAAGUGUGGGUAUCAAACAGGAUUAGAUACCCUAGUAGUC